GGCUUGGUCCUGACUUUACUAUAGGCUUUAGCCCAAUUUAUACAUGCAAGUAUCCGCAUCCCAGUGAGAAUGCCCUCAAUCCCCCGCCCGGGGACGAGGAGCUGGCAUCAGGCACAAGCCCAAGACGCCUUGCUAAGCCACACCCCCAAGGGAAUUCAGCAGUAAUAAAUAUUAAGCCAUAAGUGAAAACUUGACUUAGUUAGGGUUAAGAGGGUCGGUAAAAUUCGUGCCAGCCACCGCGGUUAUACGAAAGACCCUAGUUUAUAGAAACGGCGUAAAGGGUGGUUAAGGGUAACUAUAAAUAAAGCCAAAGACCAUCAAAGCCGUCAUACGCUUUCCGAUGGCUCGAAGUCCAAACACGAAAGUAGCCUUAAUAAAUUAUGCCUGACCCCACGAAAGCUAGGAAACAAACUGGGAUUAGAUACCCCACUAUGCCUAGCCCUAAACCAAGAUGUAACUUACAAAACUAUCCGCCAGGGGACUACWWGYACAGYUUAAAACCCAAAGGACUUGGCGGUGCCUCAUACCCACBUAGAGGAGCCUGUUCUAGAACCGAUAACCCCCGUUCAACCUCACCACCUCUUGGUUUUUCCGCCUAUAUACCGCCGUCGUCAGCUUACCCCAUGGAGGGUAAAACAGUAAGCAAAAUGAGUCUAACCCAAAACGUCAGGUCGAGGUGUAGCGUACGAAGUGGGAAGAAAUGGGCUACAUUUUCUGUAACAGAAUAUUACGAAUAGUGCCCUGAAACACAGCACCUGAAGGAGGAUUUAGUAGUAAAAAGGAAGUAGAGUGUCCCUUUGAACUAGGCUCUGAGGCGCGCACACACCGCCCGUCACUCUCCCCUAAAAUAAACUACUAAACAUUCCUAAUAAAACAUAAACAAUAACGGGGAGGCAAGUCGUAACAUGGUAAGUGUACCGGAAGGUGCACUUGGAAUAAC
rnacentral:ncRNA from 1 species